CCUUUCGGGGUGGAUUAGUGGCGAACGGGUGAGUAACACGUGGGCAAUCUGCCCUGCACUCUGGGACAAGCCCUGGAAACGGGGUCUAAUACCGGAUAUGACAUCCUCCCGCAUGGGAAGGGUGUGGAAAGCUCCGGCGGUGCAGGAUGAGCCCGCGGCCUAUCAGCUUGUUGGUGGGGUGAUGGCCUACCAAGGCGACGACGGGUAGCCGGCCUGAGAGGGCGACCGGCCACACUGGGACUGAGACACGGCCCAGACUCCUACGGGAGGCAGCAGUGGGGAAUAUUGCACAAUGGGCGAAAGCCUGAUGCAGCGACGCCGCGUGAGGGAUGACGGCCUUCGGGUUGUAAACCUCUUUCAGCAGGGAAGAAGCGAGAGUGACGGUACCUGCAGAAGAAGCACCGGCUAACUACGUGCCAGCAGCCGCGGUAAUACGUAGGGUGCGAGCGUUGUCCGGAAUUAUUGGGCGUAAAGAGCUCGUAGGCGGCUUGUCACGUCGGAUGUGAAAGCCCGGGGCUUAACCCCGGGUCUGCAUUCGAUACGGGCAGGCUAGAGUUCGGUAGGGGAGAUCGGAAUUCCUGGUGUAGCGGUGAAAUGCGCAGAUAUCAGGAGGAACACCGGUGGCGAAGGCGGAUCUCUGGGCCGAUACUGACGCUGAGGAGCGAAAGCAUGGGGAGCGAACAGGAUUAGAUACCCUGGUAGUCCAUGCCGUAAACGUUGGGAACUAGGUGUUGGCGACAUUCCACGUCG
rnacentral:rRNA from 1 species